rnacentral:sRNA from 1 species
AACAAGGUCUUCUAGGGUUCCGGGCUCUCCUCUGGGGAGUCGGCUGGUCCGAGAGAAGGCGCAUCGGCGCGUUAGUCGCCUUGGUGUACACGGCGGGAAAAAAGCCCGGGAGAA